rnacentral:lncRNA from 1 species
UGGAGAUCUGCCAGUUAGCUAUCGAAGUGAUUAACUACAGGAUGCUUUUGCUCAUGGUGUGUGCUGCAGAAGACAGAGCCUGGGAAGUGACUACACCCUUUGAAGGAGGCCAGAAUGUCGUGAAUGAAUGCAGCACAGAGAAUUAGAGAUGAAGAAUGAAAGGCUGGGUGAUGUCACCACAGAGCACGUGAGACUUGGAGUUUUUGAUGCACCCAGCGAUGCACAGAGGCUUUGGAGGAAGAAGAUACCCACAGGCUCCUUGCAUGUCUCCAAAGCCAGCUUCCCCGGUGCCUACCCACG